AUGGGGCCUUUCGCCUCGCAAACGACCCGCCACGAAAGAGAACUGGCUCGGCCUCUGCCGGCUCAGCAACCCACGUGGGAGGCCCUUCUCGGGAUCUCCUUUGACGUCGGGGCCGCGCCCACACGCGCAGCGGGGAGAGCACCCAGCCAGGUGCGCGCGCUCCGCACCCCGGCACAGCCAGGCCUGGGAAUCCCCGCGCAGCUCCUCAGGCACGCACCCGGCCGGCGCGUGGGCGUCGCCGGCCACUGCGCAGGCGCCGACGCGCUUUCCUCGGCCGGGCGCGCGCUCGCCGCGGGUUACGCUCUGGGAGGGCGGAGGGCUGCGCGUGCACGAGCGGGCGACCGUGACGUGCGCCGCGUUACGCUCGACGUCACGGGUCCGUGUGUAGUGGCGGCCGAACUGCCCUCAGCGGCGGCGCCUGACGCGGGUGGUGUGGCUGCUGGGCGCGGCGUUCUAGGGGUCGCGCGGGCGGCGGCGAGGGCUACGACCGGGACGCCCGACACCCGAGGCCGCACAGCCGCCGCUCCCGCCCCUUCUCCAGCCUCUGGCCGUGCCGGCCCUCGGCUUCCUCCUUUCCUGGCCAGCCCUCCGCGGGCCUUGGGGCUGCAGCGGCGAGAAGCACCGAGGGGGCGAGAGGCCCCGGACGGCCGCGACGCUCCACGCGCCCGCCUCCCCGGCCGGCCCGGGCUCCAUGUGAAGGAGGGACGGGCCCGGCCCGCCGGCCCGCGCCCGACUGCUCGCGCGCCCCUCCGGCCCCCGGGGGCGCCGCGGCCUCCCCGGACCGGGGGCCGCGGUGACAGGCCGCGCGGGGGCGGAGGGGCGGGCUCGGCGGCGGCGGCGGCGGCCCUUCCGCGGGCCUGCGGCUCCGGCGUCCCCGCAGAGCGCCCGGUACGUGCCUGUGUGAGUGUGCGUGUGUGGCAGGGCCGCGGCGGCCUGUGUGCCGCUCCCGCGGGGGCGGGGAUUUCGCUCCGGGAGGGCAGACCCGGGUCUCCCCUUCGGCCGCACGGCUGUCAGAUGCGUGCCGUGCGGGGGUUUUGGAGGGACGGUUGCGGCCGGUGUCUGGGACGAAGCGGGGAUGUUACGUGGAGUGCGUCCCGAAGUGCUGGUCGUCUUUGCACGUUCGGAGCGUGCUCCUCUCUUGUUUCCCCUUUCUUUACGGAACGUUUAGCUAGUGUUUACGGAGCUCCUCACUCUGCCCCCCGGCGGGUGGGCUUUCUCUCAUUCCGUCUUCCCCGCCCGGUGAGGUGGGCGCGUUGUCUCCCCAUUGUACAGAUGCAAAAUAGAGGCUUUCCGAAACCUAGAGGAAAGCGUUUGCCCAAGGUCAUUCAGCCGGUGGCUGUCGAGGAAGUCUUGAUUAGAUUAUGCAUACGUCUUUCCGUCUUACAAAAAGAAAUACAUGAGGAAAAUGAGCCAGGCUGGACAGUUUAUUCCUGGGGGUAA
rnacentral:lncRNA from 1 species